rnacentral:rRNA from 1 species
GAUGAACGCUAGCUACAGGCUUAACACAUGCAAGUCGAGGGGAAACGACAUCGAAAGCUUGCUUUUGAUGGGCGUCGACCGGCGCACGGGUGAGUAACGCGUAUCCAACCUGCCCAUCACUUGGGAAUAACCUUGCGAAAGUAAGACUAAUACCCAAUGACAUCCCACGAAGACAUCUGAAUGGGAUUAAAGAUUUAUCGGUGAUGGAUGGGGAUGCGUCUGAUUAGCUUGUUGGCGGGGUAACGGCCCACCAAGGCAACGAUCAGUAGGGGUUCUGAGAGGAAGGUCCCCCACAUUGGAACUGAGACACGGUCCAAACUCCUACGGGAGGCAGCAGUGAGGAAUAUUGGUCAAGGGGCGAGAGCCUGAACCAGCCAAGUAGCGUGCAGGAGGACGGCCCUAUGGGUUGUAAACUGCUUUUAUAAGGGAAUAAAGUGGGUCUCGGGAGACUUUUUGCAUGUACCUGAUGAAUAAGGACCGGCUAAUUCCGUG